UUGGGAGCUCACUGGCUUCGGAGUCAUGGGAACUCCGAAGUUAAGCGAGUUGGGGCUAGAUCAAUCCCAAGAUGGGUGACCUACUAAGAAGUUGCUUGUGAGUUCCCAGA
rfam:Prunus persica cultivar Lovell chromosome G6, whole genome shotgun sequence.